UACGUAGGGCGCAAGCGUUGUCCGGAAUUAUUGGGCGUAAAGAGCUCGUAGGUGGCGUGUCGCGUCUGCCGUGAAAGCCCAUGGCUUAACUGUGGGUCUGCGGUGGAUACGGGCAGGCUAGAGGCUGGUAGGGGCAAGCGGAAUUCCUGGUGUAGCGGUGAAAUGCGCAGAUAUCAGGAGGAACACCGGUGGCGAAGGCGGCUUGCUGGGCCAGUUCUGACGCUGAGGAGCGAAAGCGUGGGGAGCGAACAGA
rnacentral:rRNA from 1 species